CCCAUCCUAGGACUACUCCCGUCCUAGCACGCUUAACUCUCUUAACCUCUUGGGCCUAGCCACCACCCAAAAUACUUAAGCCGGGUUAAGAGUUUAGCCCUAUUAUAUCUCAUAUAUAGGACUAUCUGGGGUCUCACAAUCUCCUCUCCUUUAAGCCCUGACGUCCUCGUCAGGCUCAAACUCACAAGUACCAGGCGAUGUGAGACUCGUCUCGCUAGCCUAAACCGACCUUGUGGGGGAACCGCGCGCUUUACCCACAACAGUCAACAGCAUGAGAGCCUCGCUCUUCCCGCUGCACAAACCUAGCUAAGUCGAGACUCAUUUCACACUUCCGGCUGGUAAUUGGCUCUGAUACCAACUGUGACGUCUCGAUUUCCCAAGGGGUCACCCAUCCUAGGAAUACUCCCGUCUUAGCACUCUUAACUCUCUUAACCUCUUGGGCCCAGCCACCACCCAAAAUGCUUAAGCCGGGUUAAGAGUUUAGCCCUAUUAUAUCUCAUAUAUAGGACUACCUGGGGUCUCACAAAAGGAUGGUAAUUUAAGGGAAAGGGAUCGGAGAGAGGGAGAAUAGUAAAAGGAAUUGAGAUAAAAUAAUUAAAAGGAUAAAAGGGGAAAACUAUUGUGCUUGGUGGAUAAGCUAGAUGG
rnacentral:lncRNA from 1 species